GACGAACGCUGGCGGCGUGCUUAACACAUGCAAGUCGAACGGAAAGGCCCUGCUUUUGUGGGGUGCUCGAGUGGCGAACGGGUGAGUAACACGUGAGUAACCUGCCCUUGACUUUGGGAUAACUUCAGGAAACUGGGGCUAAUACCGGAUAGGAGCUCCUGCUGCAUGGUGGGGGUUGGAAAGUUUCGGCGGUUGGGGAUGGACUCGCGGCUUAUCAGCUUGUUGGUGGGGUAGUGGCUUACCAAGGCUUUGACGGGUAGCCGGCCUGAGAGGGUGACCGGCCACAUUGGGACUGAGAUACGGCCCAGACUCCUACGGGAGGCAGCAGUGGGGAAUAUUGCACAAUGGGCGGGGGCCUGAUGCAGCAACGCCGCGUGCGGGAUGACGGCCUUCGGGUUGUAAACCGAUUUCGCCUGUGACGAAGCGUGAGUGACGGUAAUGGGUAAAGAAGCACCGGCUAACUACGUG
rnacentral:rRNA from 1 species